AAGACAUAUACUUCAGGGAUAUUUCUAUAGUUUCUAACUGGAGAAAUGUGUUUCUAAAGUGUUUUGGUCUCGCCAACACAUGAUGAUGAGUUUGUGAUAUUUCUUUCUGAGCGUGAAGCUGACAGAGAAGUAUGCAUUCUGUUCAUAUGUUCUGUCAUUGAUGAUUGUUCUUUACUUCUUUUUGGAGUAUUGAGGAAGGGAAUAUGAUCAGAGUGGG
rnacentral:snoRNA from 1 species